rnacentral:snRNA from 1 species
AUCGCUUCUUGGCCUUUUGGCUAAGAUCAAGUGUAGUAUCUAUUCUUAGCAGUUUAAUAUCUGAUACGUCUUCUAUCUGAGGACAAUAUAUUAAAUGGAUUUUUGGAGCUGGGAGAUGGAAUAGGAGCUUGCUCCGUCCACUCCACAAAAGAAAA